rnacentral:rRNA from 1 species
GGGGGAUAUUGCACGAUGGAGGAAACUCUGAUGCAGCGACGCCGCGUGAGGGAAGACGGUCUUCGGAUUGUAAACCUCUGUCUUAGGGGAAGAAAAAUGACGGUACCCUAAGAGGAAGCUCCGGCUGACUACGUGCCAGCAGCCGCGGUAAUACGUAGGGAGCGAGCGUUGUCCGGAAUUACUGGGUGUAAAGGGAGCGUAGGCGGGACAGCAAGUUGGAUGUUUAACAUAUCGGCUCAACCGAUAUCUGCAUCCAAAACUGCAGUUCUUGAGUGAAGUAGAGGCAGGCGGAAUUCCUAGUGUAGCGGUGAAAUGCGUAGAUAUUAGGAGGAACACCAGUGGCGAAGGCGGUUUGCUGGGCUUUAACUGACGCUGAGGCUCGAAAGCGUGGGGAGCAAAC